AGCAGAGGAAAAUUACAUUCAGCCCAAGCAGAGCAUCUCGGCACUUACUCCCCAGGUGAAGUGUCAGGCAGGUCCUGGGUCGGUGAGUGUGGGAUGACAGGGACAUUUAAGAAGCAUGGAUAAAAACUGGAGGAUGAAGUGGAUCUCGAAAAUAAGACUCAGACAGCACUGGCCUGAAUGUCCCACAGCAGCAUCUAAGAUCGACAAGCUUCUGGACGCCUGUCUGUCAUUGGCUCUGCACCACGGACCCGAGGACGUGCUGCAAUGCAAUCCAAGCCGAC